GAUGAACGCUGGCGGCGUGCCUAAUACAUGCAAGUCGAGCGAACAGAUGAGGAGCUUGCUCCUCUGACGUUAGCGGCGGACGGGUGAGUAACACGUGGAUAACCUACCUAUAAGACUGGGAUAACUUCGGGAAACCGGAGCUAAUACCGGAUAAUAUAUUGAACCGCAUGGUUCAAUAGUGAAAGACGGUUUUGCUGUCACUUAUAGCUGGAUCCGCGCCGCAUUAGCUAGUUGGUAAGGUAACGGCUUACCAAGGCGACGAUGCGUAGCCGACCUGAGAGGGUGAUCGGCCACACUGGAACUGAGACACGGUCCAGACUCCUACGGGAGGCAGCAGUAGGGAAUCUUCCGCAAUGGGCGAAAGCUUGACGGAGCAACGCCGCGUGAGUGAUGAAGGUCUUCGGAUCGUAAAACUCUGUUAUUAGGGAAGAACAAAUGUGUAAGUAACUAUGCACGUCUUGACGGUACCUAAUCAGAAAGCCACGGCUAACUACGUG
rnacentral:rRNA from 1 species